ensembl:lncRNA novel transcript, antisense to FTO
GGAAACAGAGCUUCACUCUUGUUGCCCAGGCUAGAGUGCAGUGGUGCGAUCUUGGCUCACUGCAACCUCCGCCUCCCAGGUUCAAGCGAUUCUUCUGCCUCAGCCUCAUGACGAGCUGGGAUUGCAGGUGCCUGCCACCACGCUCGGCUAAUUUUUUGUAUUUUUAGUAGAGAUAGGGUUUCAUCAUGUUGGCCAGGCUGGUCUCAAACUGCUGACCUCAGAUGGUCUGCCCGCCUCGGCCUCCCAAAGUACUGGGAUUACAGGCGUGAGCCACCAUGCCAGGCCUCAGAAUGGCUCUUAAGCAGGAAGGCUUCAGGUUUUCCUUCAUUGUUUACUGACAUUACUUAGAGGGUAAAUGGCUUUGCUUUUUUGUUGCAAUGAUUUGGGGAACACCAGGGAAUAUGGGCCUUUACCUUUGGAUGCCAUUAGAACUCUACUCCCAUUUGUUUUAGAGAUGGGGUCUUGCUCUGUUGCCUAGGCUGGAAUGCAGUGGCACAACCAUGGCUUAUUGCAGCUUCAACCUCCUGGGUUCACGCGAUCCUCCCGC